CCUGCUCAUUUUCUUCAUGGAGUUUGUAUGUUCUGCCUGUGCAUUUGUGAGUUUUCUCUGAGUACUCCGGCUUCCUCCCACAGUCCAAAAAUAUGCUUUU